GAUGAACGCUGGCGGCGUGCCUAAUACAUGCAAGUCGAGCGAACGGACGAGAAGCUUGCUUUUCUGAUGUUAGCGGCGGACGGGUGAGUAACACGUGGAUAACCUACCUAUAAGACUGGGAUAACUUCGGGAAACCGGAGCUAAUACCGGAUAAUAUUUUGAACCGCAUGGUUCAAAAGUGAAAGACGGUCUUGCUGUCACUUAUAGAUGGAUCCGCGCUGCAUUAGCUAGUUGGUAAGGUAACGGCUUACCAAGGCAACGAUGCAUAGCCGACCUGAGAGGGGGAUCGGCCACACUGGAACUGAGACACGGUCCAGACUCCUACGGGAGGCAGCAGUAGGGAAUCUUCCGAAAUGGGCGAAAGCCUGACGGAGCAACGCCGCGUGAGUGAUGAAGGUCUUCGGAUCGUAAAACUCUGUUAUUAGGGAAGAACAUAUGUGUAAGUAACUGUGCACAUCUUGACGGUACUUAAUCAGAAAGCCACGGCUAACUACG
rnacentral:rRNA from 1 species